CUCAUCUAAGGCCUUGACAAGUUAGUUUAUUAGCUAGUAGACACAAAGACUUCAUUAAAAAAGAAGAAAAAUUCAUUGACAGUGACAGUGACACUAGUGACAGUGACAGUAAUUAAAGGUGGUUGGUAGGGUAAACGUGAAUAUCAAAAACCAUGCUUAAUUAUAUAGCAACGCGGUCUGUAUCAUUUUCUCCGCAAAUGUCUCAUCGAUUGAUCAAAUUUCGUUAUGGGUUUGCCAAAACCCAGCAGGCCCAACCGGCCACAGCCUCCAAAAGUGGAAUCCAAGGGGGUCAGCAAGCACAAGGACAAGGAGCAACACUUUGGGACUUCGAAUUACCCCCUCGAUUUAGAAGGAGAGCCAUCGAUGAUAGCGAAAUAGCCGUUAUUAACAAUGGUGGGCCUUUGUAAUUUUUUAGGAUAUAUUUAUAAAUAGUAUUACUUUUCAUUAAAGAUAUAAAUAAAUAUUUAAGAAGUUU
rnacentral:lncRNA from 1 species